ensembl:lncRNA
UGUUGGGUGUGUUUGAUCCCUGCCUUUACCUUCUGGACUGUGGCUUCUGUGCUCACGUGGUCCACAAUUACGGGUUUCCAGGAUACGAUGGCGGGUUCUCCAGGAGGGAGAGGAAGUGGUGAUCUGCUGUUUAACCCCUAAUGAAGUCAGUGCCGGUGACCGACACCUGGACCGGAUUGCUCCUGAUCAGAAGCCACUGGAAGGAAGCCAGAGCCAUUAGCCUGCUGUCGUUGUGAGGGAGGAUGGGGAUCCAUCCUGUUAGCUGAUGCAAAAUGAACAGUGCCGGUUGGUCACAAAGCACAAUGCUGGGGGACCUUUGGGGAUGGAAGGUGAUGUGUUAGAAGUGUGUGGGUUUUUUUUCUUUUUCUUUUUUGCGCACGCACGCACAGGCGCCGUGACACAAAGCCCAACACAUCGACACAGCAGUGCUGCAGCAGUGGUCUGAUUCAUAGCUAAUGAAUAUUUACCAGCUGGCCUUGCAGUGUCUGAAACUGCAGCAGCUCACAGGGG